AGGCAACAGACAUGGUUGUGGUGUCCUGCUCUGUCAGCCUUCCAGACACUGCAGGUGAAGUCAUCGUUCUAUCCAGCAAGAAGGAGGUGGUGGCCACUAUUAGGGAAGAAUACAGAUGUGAUCCCACAGAUGAUGUCAUGGGAGUAGGUCAUGAGCUGCAUGGAUGUCAAACAGCCUGCACACAACCUCAUCUGGGCCAGUGGCAAAGGCACUGCCACUGGAAAAGAAACAGAUGGCAUUGAUGUGAGACUCACGGAAGGUCUGCCCGCACAUCUCUUCUCAGACAUCCCAGGGCUUGGCUGAACCGUCGUUGCAAGCACCAGAGACAAACAGUCUGGUGUCAGGAGGACAGGCUCAUGACGUGUCCAGUGUGUCCAGUUAGUGUGGUUGUCUGUUGGCCUGUGUUCUUGAUGACCUACAGGACACAUGUGGUAACUGUAGAGUUGGUGACUGUCUGAUCAUUGUCCCGGAACCAGCGACAUGACAGAUAAUUUGCAUGUUCUCCCAGCUCACGAUUCGCACACUCAUUUCCUUAGGGAGUUUGGAACAGAUGUUUUCCAGAAUUAUGCCACCAGACAUAAUUCUGGUGAGGUCUGCAUAGGUCAUGACCCAGGAAGAGCACAGGGGAAUGGCAUGGACCUUGUUUGUGGCAUGGCUGUCCCAGAUGAUGAGUUUCCCAUUCUGAGAAGAACUGGCAUAGAGUGUGAAGUCUGUGUAGCAGUGCCUGGCAUUAAUCUUGGCCUGAUGUCCUCUCAGUGUUCACAUCUAGAUUAUGUCCACUGGAUCACUCUUGUUUCUGGUCUGCAAGAGUUGCAUCUGCAUAUGGAUGGGUUUUGAACAUCUUUGAUCCGGUUUUUUACUUGUUCAGCCUCCUCCGGUGCCUGGCCAAGCCCACUCAUCUUUAAGUCUCAACGCUUUUGACAUUCUGCAGAAUCCAUGAUUUUCAUCCGCAAAUGUUUCUGGUCUGGUCUCCCAGACACACGAGUCUAUCUUAGCCUCAGUCUGGCAUGACCAUGCAGGCCUGGUCUUCCCACUCUUGGACUGCAGACAGGAGCCUGUCUACAAGGCAGGUCAGUCCACAUGGAGGUCAGCAACUGGGCCCACCAUUGCUAUCCCCCAGAAAUGGAACGUUUGACCCAUGUUU
rnacentral:lncRNA from 1 species